rnacentral:rRNA from 1 species
GACGUAGGAUGCAAGCGCUGUCCGGAUUUAUUGGGCGUAAAGAGUUCGUAGGCGGCAUAUCAAGUCUGGUGUUAAAUCCCGAUGCUCAACAUCGGUUCGGCACUGGAUACUGAUAAGCUAGAGUACAGUAGAGGCAAGGGGAAUUCCCAGUGUAGCGGUGAAAUGCGUAGAUAUUGGGAGGAACACCAGUGGCGUAAGCGCCUUGCUGUGCUGUUACUGACGCUGAGGAAAGAAAGACACGGGCGCAAAUGGG